rnacentral:lncRNA from 1 species
GGGGCAUCUAUUCUAGUCCCCACCUGCCAGAAUAGGUGUCAGGUGGCUCCUCACCACUCUACAUCAUUAGUGUGUACAAUGGACACAGCAUUAUCUGAACUUCCAUGGCUCUAUGUAAAGCAUUCCAUUGUAUUUUAAUAAUUACGCAAGACAAGGCCUCUUUCACAUAAGGCAAAUAAGUGUGAUUGAUUCAGACUUCUGGCAUUACUGGGCCAUGCUGCCGCAAGAAACAGGUGCAUGUGGAAUCAAGCCUGACGGAGUUAUUGGUGUGCAGAAAAAAAAAAAGAAGAAUCCAGGAACCCAUGAGAUUCUUUGGUGCCUACAAAUUCUGAUCUCCUUUAAAGGUCAUGAAAACUGUGAGAACCCCAUUAGAGCUAAAUGAGUUUUAAGGGUCUGAUUUUUUCUCAUCUGUAAUAUGAGGAAAUUUGUUACCAGUGGCAAAUCUGUACACAUCUGCAGCAACCUCAAGUC